rnacentral:lncRNA from 9 species
GGACAAUAACCAUGCAGCAUGCAGUGACAAUUAAGAUGUAGGUUAGAUAAUAUUUUCAGUGGUAAGCUCAUUGAAGACAGGGAUUUAGUUGAGUUCAUCAUUGUAUUCCCAGCUAGGGGUUGAAUCAGAGCUGUAGCCACCGGCCUACACCAGAGCCACAGCAACGCGGGAUCCGAGCCACGUCUGCAACCUACACCACAGCUCACGGCAACGCCGGAUCGUUAAUCCACUGAGCAAGGGCAGGGACCAAACCCGCAACCUCAUGGUUCCUAGUCGGAUUCGUUAACCACUGCGCCACGACGGGAACUCCCAAACUCUGUCUCUUAACAAUGUUUGAGAUCUUCAUCAGCCACAUCUAGAAUGAGAGGACUCAGUCAAUGACCAUUUGAGAAACAGAAUUAUUUUUCAUGCAUUUUAAAGAAUCUUUGUUUUAGACUUACCAUGACCCUGAUCUUUAUAUAAUAUAUAGACUCCCUUGCAUUAUUUAGGAGGAUCCAAUUACUGCAUAGAAGAUAACUUUUUAAAACUGAUAUUCAGUAACACAUGUUGACAAUUAUAACAAAGGCUAAGAAGUAUAAUACGUUUAUAAAUGUAUUUCUAUUUACAUUUAUAUUUAUACAUACAUGUUACAUAUAUACAUACAUACAUAUUAUACACAUGCAUAUAUGUAUAUAUUUCAUUGACUUAACUGAGAGUACAUUUGCUCUUAUAAACAGCUUUAUUGCAUAAUUGGUAAUUAGGUCCUGCUUGUGUGUGUGUGUGGCAUUAACAUAAAUUGAUCAAGAACUGCACCAGGUGCAUUCAAUUAAAGUUUUAAAGCAGGGUAUCAUGUUUUACCACGUGGUUGCAUUUUGAAAUAUAUUUAAUAGGUUUAUUCCAAUGUCAGGGUUGCAAUAAAUGGAAGUCAAGCUGACUGAAAACAGGCAUGUCUUGUGGGUUAAUCUUCCUGUCUCCUGAUUUCCAUCACCUACUUUGAACCUAUUUAGUCAUCCAUUUGCAGACCUUGCCAAAGCCUGUGGCUGAAACCUACAGUUGUUCUUUUCUGUGCACUAGAAGAGCUACAUAUUUUCUUUGCUUAGGAUGUUAUUAGUCUGAGUCAGGCUAACAUUAGAACUAACAAGGCACAGGGCCAAUUAUAUCUAUUAUUUUUGUAAAAUAGCUGGGUGGAUUUAGGUGCAGCAUGAAUAAGGGAGACUUAAAACAGAGGCAUUAAAUAAACUGUGAGCCUAUUCGCUAAAUGUCCUGCCUCUUGUUACUAUUCAUUUGCUGGCUCUUGACAUGUGUGAUGAACCUCUGGGAUAGGCCCUGACUAGCAGGCAUCAGAGGUUUAUUAGGGCAUUAGACAAUGCGGUUAUUUUUAGGCUCUUCUUAGGACAUUAAAAGUUUAUGAAGUAGCUUAAAGCUGAAAACUCAGGCAAGGGGAAGUAAGAUACAUGUAGCUUUAGAUACUGGAUUUCUCUGGGAAAUGAAUCAAUACUGAUCCAAUUAGUUGUUGCUAAUACUUUCCUGGAAGAAUAUUCCUUUAAAGGCAACAACACAGUAGUUACAGUCUUAAUAUUUCUUAGAGGACAUAGAUAUGGAACUCUUGUAUCAGCUUUUGAAAGUAGAAUGACUACUGGGACAAGCUUUUAAAUGAAACUGCUAGGACUCCCCUAAAAUCUCUCUCCGUAUUCCAACUUGAUUGUAUACUCAGAUCUACAAUUUAGCAAACUAUCUUUGUAGUCCUCAAAGCCCCUAAUGGAAGGUGCAUAAACUACAUCUUCAGGGCUCAUAAUGAAGUGAAUCUGUAAAGAAUUAAAAUUCAUAUAUUUCCUGUUCAUUCAAAUGUUAUUCAUUCCUAAAGAACACUUUCAAAUCCUCCUGCCACGUUCAAAAAGUCUUCCCUGAUUCUUUUUGUAUAAAUAGGUAUGUUUUAUUUGUAUUAGAAUCUGUUUUGUAUUCUCUAAAUGUUUCAUGCUUGAAUGUUUCAUGUUAGAAUCUUUUCUCCUCAAUUAACUAGCAAACUGCUAAGGGGAAGGGUAUGCAUGACAUUUU